GAACAGAAAUUGAAACAAUACAACCGUACUAUCUAUUUAUGAUAAUUUGAUUGCUGACAGCACGACAACAUCACGCUUCUCUUUCUUAUUCUUAUUUAUAUAACUGUCACUUUACCGGGCCGGAAAAGUGACACCGUCACAUCUCAGGGUCGUAUGCCUGGAACAAGAAGGGUCGUCGUACAAUUUCGGCGAUUACAAAAAAGAAGAAGGCGAUCCCUAUCCCUCUUUGUCUUUCCACUUCCCGAACAAACACUUCGCCAAAUUCUUUUGAGUCCUGGCCCGGCCAGAACCACAUGUGCAAGUUUCCCUGCAUGUGGCUUGUCCGUGAUAACUUCUUCAGAUUUGCGUGAACUAGCGGACCGAUCACUAAGUGGUUAG
rnacentral:rRNA from 1 species